rnacentral:ncRNA from 1 species
AUUCGAGGCAAAGCGAAGAACCUUACCAGGGAUUGACAUGUCGUGAAUCCUCCCGAAAGAGAGGAGUUCCUUCGGGAAUGCGGACACAGGUGGUGCAUGCCUGUCGUCAGCUCGUGCCAUAAGGUGUUCGGUUAAGUCCCACAACGAGUGCAACCCUCAUGUUUAAUUUCCAGCAUUGAGUUUGGAACCCUGAACAGACUGUCGGUGAUAAGUCGGAGGAAGGUGAGGAUGACGUCAAUUCAUCAUGCCCCUUAUGCCCUAGGCGACACACGUGCUACAAUGACCGGGACAAAGGGUCGCGACCCCGCGAGGGCAAGAUAACCUCAAAAACCCGGCCUCAGUUCAGAUUGCAGGCUGCAACUCGCCUGCAUGAAGCCAGAAUCGCUAGUAAUCGUCGGUCAGCCAUACAACGAUGAAUCCGUUCCCGGGCCUUGUACACACCGCCCAUCACACUAUGGGAGUUGGCCAUGCCCCAAGUCAUUACCUUAACCACAAGGAGGGGGAUGCCGAAGGCUAGGCUAGUGACUGGAGUGAAGUCGUAACAAGGUAGUCGUACUAGAAGGUGCGGCUGGAUCACCUCCUUU